rnacentral:rRNA from 1 species
UACGUAGGUGGCAAGCGUUAUCCGGAUUUAUUGGGCGUAAAGGGAACGCAGGCGGUCUUUUAAGUCUGAUGUGAAAGCCUUCGGCUUAACCGGAGUAGUGCAUUGGAAACUGGGAGACUUGUGUGCAGAAGAGGAGAGUGGAACUCCAUGUGUAGCGGUGAAAUGCGUAGAUAUAUGGAAGAACACCAGUGGCGAAAGCGGCUCUCUGGUCUGUAACUGACGCUGAGGGUCGAAAGCGUGGGUAGCAAACAGG